AUUUCUUCGGAUUGAAGCAAUUGUGACUGAGCGGCGGACGGGUGAGUAACGCGUGGGUAACCUGCCUUAUACAGGGGGAUAACAGUCAGAAAUGGCUGCUAAUACCGCAUAAGCGCACAGUACCGCAUGGUACCGUGUGAAAAACUCCGGUGGUAUAAGAUGGACCCGCGUUGGAUUAGCUUGUUGGUGGGGUAACGGCUCACCAAGGCGACGAUCCAUAGCCGGCCUGAGAGGGUGAACGGCCACAUUGGGACUGAGACACGGCCCAGACUCC
rnacentral:rRNA from 1 species